rnacentral:rRNA from 1 species
ACGUACACUCCUGCGGGAGGCAGCAGUGGGGAAUAUUGGACAAUGGGCGCAAGCCUGAUCCAGCCAUGCCGCGUGAGUGAUGAAGGCCCUAGGGUUGUAAAGCUCUUUCACCGGUGAAGAUAAUGACGGUAACCGGAGAAGAAGCCCCGGCUAACUUCGUGCCAGCAGCCGCGGUAAUACGAAGGGGGCUAGCGUUGUUCGGAUUUACUGGGCGUAAAGCGCACGUAGGCGGACUAUUAAGUCAGGGGUGAAAUCCCGGGGCUCAACCCCGGAACUGCCUUUGAUACUGGUAGUCUUGAGUUCGAGAGAGGUGAGUGGAAUUCCGAGUGUAGAGGUGAAAUGCGUAGAUAUUCGGAGGAACACCAGUGGCGAAGGCGGCUCACUGGCUCGAUACUGACGCUGAGGUGCGAAAGCGUGGGGAGCAAACAGGAUUAGAAACCCCAGUAGUCCCA